CCACUAUGUCCCCAAAUGUCCCAGUAUGUCCCCAAAUGUCCCAGUAUGUCCCCAAGUGUCCCAGUGUGCACCCAGAGCGUCCCAGUAUGUCCCCAAAUGUCCCAGUAUGUCCCCAAAGCAUCCCAGUAUGUCCCCAAGUGUCCCAGUAUGUCCCCAAGUGUCCCAGUGUGCACCCAGAGUGUCCCAGUAUGUCCCCAAGUCAUCCCAGUAUGUCCCCAAGUGUCCCAGUGUGCACCCAGAGCAUCCCAGUAUGUCCCCAAGUGUCCCAGUACACAACC